UGAGAUGUAAUGCGACGUGAGUGCGCCGGC
rnacentral:sRNA from 1 species